ensembl:misc_RNA Y_RNA Y RNA
AGCUGGUCUGAGUACAGUGGUGUUUACACCUAAUUGAUCACAACCAGCUACGGAUUUAUUUGUUCCUUCUCCACUUCCACAGCUUCACUUGACUAGCCUUAA